GCGUUCAUGGUGUAGUGGUCAGUACACUUGACACAUAUUCAAGAGGUUCGUGGUUCGAGUCCCGGUGAGGGCA
rnacentral:tRNA from 1 species